rnacentral:tRNA from 1 species
GCGUGGCGCAACGGUAGCGCGGUGGUUUUGUAAACCAUAUGUUGCAGGUUCGAUUCCUGUCGCU